rnacentral:rRNA from 1 species
AUGCGGGCCCUUUUCUGGAACCUCCGCGGCUUCGGCCAUGAUGGUCGUCGCCGCCAGCUCAUCGAGUACAUCUGGGAUGAACAUAUUGACAUUGUGGCCAUCCAAGAAACCCUCCGCUCUGAGUUCACCCUGCAGGAACUUGAACAUCUGAGCCCCCACCUCUUCGCGUGGCACUGGCUCCCUUCUAGUGGGACCUCAGGCCACUCGGGUGGCAUCCUCUUAGGGGUUAAGGAUACCACAUUUGAGGUGGGAGGCAUGGAUAGAGGGGAAUUUUUCGUUAGUAUGGAGAUCUUCGAGCGGGCCCUGAACUUCAAAUGGGAGGUCAUUGUUGUCUACGGACCGGCGGACCACCGCCGCUCCCCGGCGUUCCUUGACGAGCUGCAGCUGAAGAUCUCUAACUCUCCCCUCCCAGUUUUAGUGGGGGGUGACUUCAAUCUCAUCCGAUCCCCGGAUGAGAAGAAUAAUUCCCGGAUUAAUUUCCCCCGGAUGCAAUUAUUCAACGAUUGGAUCGUGGAGCUGGGGCUCCGUGAGCUUGACCGGUCAGGUGCCAGAUUCACUUGGACCAACCGGCAAGCUGUACCGACACAAUCCAUGCUGGAUCGUGUCCUAGUUUCCCCGGAGUGGGAAUUGCGAUGCCCCUUGGCAUCGCUCCGGGCGGUCACCCGGAUAGGCUCCGAUCAUGUCCCCCUUCUCCUCUCCACCGCCGAUGAGCGCCCCCUCCUCGCCGCGGUUCCGGUUUGA